UACGUAGGGGGCUAGCGUUUUCCGGAAUUACUGGGCGUAAAGGGUGCGUAGGUGGUUUCUUAAGUCAGAGGUGAAAGGCUACGGCUCAACCGUAGUAAGCCUUUGAAACUGGGAAACUUGAGUGCAGGAGAGGAGAGCGGAAUUCCCGGUGUAGCGGUGGAAUGCGCAGAUAUCGGGAAGAACACCGAUGGCGAAGGCAGCUCUCUGGGCCGUCACUGACGCUGAGGCGCGAAAGCUGGGGGAGCGAACAGG
rnacentral:rRNA from 1 species